CUCACAGGCAGAGAUAGAGGCACGGCUGGCUGCGCUAAAGGAUGAACGUCAGGGUUCCAUCCCUUCCACCCAGGAAAUGGAGGAACGACUUGCAGCAUUGCAGGGCAGAGUUCUACCUUCUCAAACCCCCCAGCCGGCACAUCACAUACCAGACACCAGGACCCAAGCCCAGCAGACACAGGAUCUGCUAACACAGCUGGCAUCUGAGGUGGCUAUCGAUGAAAGCUGGAAAAGAGGAGGCCCAGGUAACCCCUCCACUUGGCUCCCUAGGAAUCUUCCCCACCUCUUUCCCCAGACUGGAGAGGCUCUGCUGUCCACCCUCUGGGAGAUGAAUAUAAAUCAGAGAGUGAUCAACAUUAUAAGAGUUACCAUUCAUUGAGUGCUUACUCCAAAGGGAGCCAGUGUAAGCCUAGUGUUUAAGUGCACAGGCUUUAGAAUCAGACAGUGAUUCCCAGUUCUACCACGUAUUAGCUGUGUGAUGCUGGACAAGUUACUUGACCUAAGUCUCACUUUCCUCAUGUGUAAAAUGAAGGUAUGUAUGGAAAAACCUGCCUCACAGGGA
rnacentral:sRNA from 1 species